UAGGGAAUCUUCCACAAUGGACGAAAGUCUGAUGGAGCAACGCCGCGUGAGUGAUGAAGGGUUUCGGCUCGUAAAACUCUGUUGUUGGAGAAGAACAGGUGAUAGAGUAACUGUUAUCAUCUUGACGGUAUCCAACCAGAAAGCCACGGCUAACUACGUGCCAGCAGCCGCGGUAAUACGUAGGUGGCAAGCGUUGUCCGGAUUUAUUGGGCGUAAAGCGAGCGCAGGCGGUUUUUUAGGUCUGAUGUGAAAGCCUUCGGCUUAACCGGAGAAGGGCAUCGGAAACCGGGAGACUUGAGUGCAGAAGAGGACAGUGGAACUCCAUGUGUAGCGGUGAAAUGCGUAGAUAUAUGGAAGAACACCAGUGGCGAAGGCGGCUGUCUGGUCUGUAACUGACGCUGAGGCUCGAAAGCAUGGGUAGCGAACAGGAUUAGAUACCCUGGUAGUCCAUGCCGUAAACGAUGAGUGCUAAGUGUUGGGAGGCUUCCGCCUCUCAGUGCUGCAGCUAACGCAUUAAGCACUCCGCCUGGGGGAGUACGACCGCAAGGUUGAAAC
rnacentral:rRNA from 1 species